UACGCUGUUGCUGUGACGUUACCUACAGAAGAAGGACCGGCUAACUCCGUGCCAGCAGCCGCGGUAAUACGGAGGGUCCGAGCGUUAAUCGGAAUUACUGGGCGUAAAGCGUGCGCAGGCGGUUUGUUAAGCGAGAUGUGAAAGCCCCGGGCUCAACCUGGGAAUUGCAUUUCGAACUGGCGAACUAGAGUCUUGUAGAGGGGGGUAGAAUUCCAGGUGUAGCGGUGAAAUGCGUAGAGAUCUGGAGGAAUACCGGUGGCGAAGGCGGCCCCCUGGACAAAGACUGACGCUCAGGCACGAAAGCGUGGGGAGCAAACAGGAUUAGAUACCCUGGUAGUCCACGCCGUAAACGAUGUCUACUCGGAGUUUGGUGUCUUGAACACUGGGCUCUCAAGCUAACGCAUUAAGUAGACCGCCUGGGGAGUACGGCCGCAAGGUUAAAACUCAAAUGAAUUGACGGGGGCCCGCACAAGCGGUGGAGCAUGUGGUUUAAUUCGAUGCAACGCGAAGAACCUUACCUACUCUUGACAUCCACGGAAUUCGCUAGAGAUAGCUUAGUGC
rnacentral:rRNA from 1 species